rnacentral:rRNA from 1 species
UACGAAGUGGGCUAGCGUUGUUCGGAAUUACUGGGCGUAAAGCGCACGUAGGCGGGCAUGUAAGAUGGGGGUGAAAUCCCGGGGCUCAACCCCGGAAUUGUCUUCAAGACUGCAAGUCUGGAGGUCAGGAGAGGCGAGCGGAAUUCCGAGUGUAGAGGUGAAAUUCGUAGAUAUUAGGAGGAACACCAGUUGCGAAGGCUGCUCGCUGUACUGAUACUAACGCUGAGGUGCGAAAGCGUGGGGAGCGAACAGG